rnacentral:rRNA from 1 species
AUGAACGCUGGCGGCGUGCCUAAUACAUGCCAGUCGAGCGAACAGAUGAGGAGCUUGCUCCUCUGACGUUAGCGGCGGACGGGUGAGUAACACGUGGAUAACCUACCAAUAAGACUGGGAUAACUUCGGGAAACCGGAGCUAAUACCGGAUAAUAUAUUGAACCGCAUGGUUCAAUAGUGAAAGACGGUUUUGCUGUCACUUAUAGAUGGAUCCGCGCCGCAUUAGCUAGUUGGUAAGGUAACGGCUUACCAAGGCAACGAUGCGUAGCCGACCUGAGAGGGUGAUCGGCCACACUGGAACUGAGACACGGUCCAGACUCCUACGGGAGGCAGCAGUAGGGAAUCUUCCGCAAUGGGCGAAAGCUUGACGGAGCAACGCCGCGUGAGUGAUGAAGGUCUUCGGAUCGUAAAACUCUGUUAUUAGGGAAGAACAAAUGUGUAAGUAACUAUGCACGUCUUGACGGUACCUAAUCAGAAAGCCACGGCUAACUACGUG